rnacentral:rRNA from 1 species
UACGGAGGGUGCAAACGUUGCUCGGAAUCAUUGGGCGUAAAGCGCACGUAGGCGGCCUGAUAAGUCGGGUGUGAAAGCCCAGGGCUCAACCCUGGAAUAGCCUUCGAUACUGGAUGUCUUGAGUACGGGAGAGGUGAGUGGAACUCCGAGUGUAGAGGUGAAAUUCGUAGAUAUUCGCAAGAACACCAGUGGCGAAGGCGGCUCACUGGCCCGAUACUGACGCUGAGGCACGAAAGCGUGGGGAGCAAACAGGG